UACGUAGGUGGCGAGCGUUGUCCGGAUUUACUGGGCGUAAAGGGCGUGCAGGCGGUUUGUUAAGUGCAGGGUGAAAGCUCCCGGCUCAACUGGGAGAGGUCCUUGCAUACUGGCGAACUCGAGGGAGGCAGAGGAAAGUGGAAUUCCCGGUGUAGUGGUGAUAUGCGUAGAUAUCGGGAGGAACACCUGUGGCGAAGGCGGCUUUCUGGGCCUUACCUGACGCUGAGACGACGAAAGCGUGGGGGAGCGAACCGG
rnacentral:rRNA from 1 species